UACAGAGGGGGCAAGCGUUGUUCGGAAUUACUGGGCGUAAAGGGCGCGUAGGCGGCCUCUUAAGUCGAACGUGAAAUCCCCGGGCUCAACCCGGGAACUGCGUCCGAUACUGGGAGGCUUGAAUCCGGGAGAGGGAUGUGGAAUUCCAGGUGUAGCGGUGGAAUGCGUAGAUAUCUGAAGGAACAUCAGUGGCGAAAGCGACUUCCUGGACCAAUACUGACGCUCAUGUGCGAAAGCGUGGGGAGCAAACA
rnacentral:rRNA from 1 species